rnacentral:rRNA from 1 species
AUGCGGAAGACCAGCAGCGCCGCAUACCGUGCCCUGCUCUUGUCCGCCGACGCGCCGGUGACAUGCGUUGUUGCCGAUGGCACCAUGCCGUUCGCCAUCGAUGUCGCCGAGGAGCUUGGCAUCCCGGCGCUCGCCUUCGCCACGCACAGCGCCUGCAGCUACCUGGCGCUCCUGUCUAUGCCCAAGCUCGUUGAGCUCGGCGAGACCCCCUUCCCUGCGGAUGACCUGGUGUGCGGCGUUCCGGGGAUGGAGGGCUUCCUCCGGCGCCGAGAUCUUCCUCGUGGACUCUACUGCACUGAACAAGGCGAGGGAGACCCCUGGAUGCUCAAGCUUGCCGAGGUCACCGCUCGCUCCAGCAAGGCAUGUGCGCUCAUACUCAACACCACCACGUCCAUGGAGCAGCCAGCGCUCGCCCACAUUGCGUCGCGCACAAGUGACGUCUUCGCUGUAGGCCCACUGCAUGCCAGGUCAAGGCUCACCGCAAGCGCAAGCCUGUGGCAGGAGGACGACGGGUGCAUGGCGUGGCUGGACAGCCACGAGGACCAGUCCGUCGUGUAUGUGAGCCUGGGGAGCCGCGCGGUGAUCACGCAUGAGCAGUUCACUGAGUUCCUCUCCGGCCUGGUAGCUACUGGAUAUGCCUUCCUCUGGGCGCUCCGGCCGGACAUGGUCCAGAUGACCAGCUCCACGCUCCUCCGAGAAGCCAUCGGGGCAGUGGAGGGCGGCAAGGCACACGUUGUCGAGUGGGCUCCUCAGCGGGACGUGCUGCGGCACCGGGCGGUGGGCUGCUUCCUGACACACGCCGGAUGGAACUCGACGCUGGAGUGCGCCAUGGAAGGCGUGCCGAUGGUGUGCUGGCCCUUCUUCUCCGACCAGCAGAUCAACAGCCGCUUCGUGGGCGCCGUGUGGAGGACGGGGCUGGACACGAAGGACGUCUGCGACAGAGGCGUCGUUGAGAGGACGGUGAGGGAGGCCAUGGUGUCCGACGAGAUCAGGGGGGUGGCCCAAGCUAUGGCGCAGCAGUUGAGGCUGGAUGUCGCGCAGGUGGGGUCGUCGUCGUCCGAGUUGGAGCGGCUCGUCCGCUUCAUCAGGGAGCUCAGCAUCAGGUCCUGUUGA